rnacentral:rRNA from 1 species
UACGUAGGUGGCAAGCGUUGUCCGGAUUUACUGGGCGUAAAGGGCUCGUAGGCGGCCAACUAAGUCAGACGUGAAAUCCCUCGGCUUAACCGGGGAACUGCAUCUGAUACUGGAUGGCUUGAGUUUGGGGAGAGGGAUGCGGGAAUUCCAGGUGUAGCGGUGAAAUGCGUAGAUAUCGGAGGAACACCGGUGGCGAAGGCGGCAUCUGGACCGGCAUUGACGCUGAGGAGCGAAAGCCAGGGGAGCCAAAGCGGG